rnacentral:rRNA from 1 species
UACGAAGGGGGCGAGCGUUGUUCGGAUUUACUGGGCGUAAAGGGCGCGUAGGCGGUGGGUCAAGUCGAGUGUGAAAGCCCCGGGCUCAACCUGGGAAUUGCGCUCGAGACUGGUCUGCUUGAGUUCGGGAGAGGAGAGUGGAAUUCCCAGUGUAGAGGUGAAAUUCGUAGAUAUUGGGAAGAACACCGGUGGCGAAGGCGGCUCUCUGGACCGAGACUGACGCUGAGGCGCGAAAGCGUGGGGAGCAAACAGG